rnacentral:antisense_RNA from 1 species
CUUCACCGAGCCGAGCAGCAGCGGGUGCGCGCGCUCCGCGCCGUACGUGGCGAGCAGCGCCUGCGCCUC